GAACAUUACGUUGAGACCAGCCCGGCAAUGAAGCCAGAGUAUUGCUUGAUCCGUGUGGAGGGGGUGCUUUGCAUGGGUCUGAGGGUUACCCGAUAGGGGGAUGGUUGUUUUCGCUUUGAAGUGACGGUAUUCUGAACCUUUGAGUUGCUUUUGAGAAAGAACUCCGGUCUUUUAGUUUUCUUUGGUUCAGUACACAAUUUUGAGUUGAGAUAUGUUUUUAAGUUGUAAUUUCGUAUAUGGGGUUGAACGUGAUUUGUGCCAGAAUUUUGGUUUGUUGUCACUCCUAUUAGUGUAAUAUUUUAGCUCAAAUAUGAAUUUGUUUUUUACUGUUGUUUAACGUACUCUUCGACUCCAAAAUCAAUUAUCAUUAUCAUUAUUAUUAUUA